GAACGCGAAGAACCUUACCAUCCCUUGACAUGGCAUGUUACCUCGGGAGACCGGGGAUCCUCUUCGGAGGCGUGCACACAGGUGCUGUAUGGCUGUCGUCAGCUCGUGUCGUGAGAUGUUGGGUUAAGUCCCGCAACGAGCGCAACCCACGUCCUUAGUUGCCAUCAUUCAGUUGGGCACUCUAGGGAGACUGCCGGUGAUAAGCCGCGAGGAAGGUGUGGAUGACGUCAAGUCCUCAUGGCCCUUACGGGAUGGGCUACACACGUGCUACAAUGGCGGUGACAGUGGGACGCGAAACCGCGAGGUCGAGCAAAUCCCCAAAAACCGUCUCAGUUCGGAUUGCACUCUGCAACUCGGGUGCAUGAAGGCGGAAUCGCUAGUAAUCGUGGAUCAGCACGCCACGGUGAAUACGUUCCCGGGUCUUGUACACACC
rnacentral:rRNA from 1 species